GGUGCGGCGUGCGCAUCAGUGCGUGCGCAUAUAAAAGCCUGCUGCCUUGCCUCCUGUGUAAUGGCCCUAGCAGAUAUCGAGUUCGUGCUCGAGGAGAAAAACAAAAAAAGCCGUUCGUACGGCAGAAUGUUUGUGCGCUACCAUAUCUUCUGUGUCUUCUCUCUUGCAAUAAUUUGUUGUCUCGGGUGAUCGCCGGCCUGUCGUAAGGCCGUCAGCCCCAACACCACAUUUGCCGAGUUUGUCGCCGACCGACCCUCGUCGUGCAGAACCGCGGCGUCAACUGGGAGUGGAUCUUCAUGGACGAUGCUGAUGACGAAAAGAUGCCCUCGAUUUACCCUGCCGCCAAUGAAUGACCACGAGGAUGUCCACUGCGGCAAGAGGGUCAUUAGGCUAUCGUACGCGCCAUCUAUUAUACGUAAUCAAAUGACGCCAAACCAAUUUAGCACCUCUGCGCUGCAUGCAUGCAUGUGCGAGAGCAUCUUCUCUGCAUAUGCAGCCAAUUUGAGCAGCAAAAACAAUUACUCUUGUCCUCCACGCCUGCACGUCUAAGAGCAUCUUAUCUUCGUUCGCCCUUGUCGCAUAUAUACAUGUGACUAUGUGAGAGCAUCCUAUCUUCAUCUUCUGUCUUGUGAUAGAUCACCCAUAUAAAUAGACAUAUGUAGAUGAUGACAUGAGGUAUGCAAAUACUAGCUAGUAUCAAUCAAUCAAGUUCAGAGUGAGCUCCAUUGAGGAGCCGCGCGCACGGACGGCGAUGAGCUGGCCGGACGUCGCCGCCACCAGGGAGGAGAAGACGUCAUGGCCGGAGUUAGUGGGGAAGUCACUCGAGGAGGUCAGGGAGGUCAUCCUCAAGGACAUGCCUGAAGCGGACACCGUAGUCCUCCCUGCCUGUUCCGUGGUGUUCGCGGACUGGAGGAGCAACCGGGUCCGCAUCUUCGUCGACACUGUCGCGAACACUCCUAGCAUUGGCUAGCUAGCUUUGCUCGCUAGGAGCGAUGUGCAUUCGGCAUGCAUGUCGUGUGCUUGUGACCGAAUAAUUAUUUCAAUAAUGAAUGAAUAAGUACAUGCUGACCACGAGCAUGUUAUUUAUGGAUCAA